AAUAUAAAGUCUAACCUGCCCACUGAUAUAUUAAAGGGCCGCAGUAUUUUGACUGUGCAAAGGUAGCAUAAUCAUUUGUCUUUUAAUUAAAGACUAGAAUGAAUGGUUGAAUGUAGUAUUAACUGUCUCAUUUUUAAAAUAAUAAAAAUUUAUUUUUUUAGUUAAAAAACUAAAAUAAAUUUAAAAGACGAGAAGACCCUAUAGAUCUUUAUAAAUAAUAUUUAUAUUUAAUAUAGAAUAAAAAUUAUUAUAUAAUAUAUAUAUAUAUAUUUAUUUUAUUGGGGUGAUAGGAAAAUUUAAUAAACUUUUUUUAUAUUAUAAACCAAUGAUUUUUGAAUAAUUGAUCCAUUAUUAUUGAUUAAAAAUUUAAGUUACCUUAGGGAUAACAGCGUAAUUUUUUUUGAGAGUUCAUAUCGAAAAAAAAGAUUGCGACC
rnacentral:rRNA from 1 species